UACGUAGGGGGCGAGCGUUGUCCGGAAUCACUGGGCGUAAAGGGCGUGUAGGCGGCGAGCUGCGUCGGGGGUGAAAUCCCCGGGCUCAACCCGGGGGGGUCCUCCGAAACGGGCUGGCUGGAGGGCAGGAGAGGCGAGCGGAAUUCCCGGUGUAGCGGUGAAAUGCGUAGAUAUCGGGAAGAACACCCGUGGCGAAGGCGGCUCGCUGGACUGUACCUGACGCUGAGGCGCGAAAGCUAGGGGAGCGAACGGG
rnacentral:rRNA from 1 species